UAUCCUAACCGUGCGAAGGUAGCGUAAUCACUUGUUCUUUAAAUGGGGACUAGUAUGAAUGGCACCACGAGGGUUAUACUGUCUCCCUUUUCCAAUCAGUGAAACUAAUCUCCCUGUGAAGAAGCAGGGAUAAAAAUAUAAGACGAGAAGACCCUAUGGAGCUUUAAAUUUCAAUUCAAAGCAUAGUGAAAUAGAAUUUUAGGUUGGGGUGACCGCGGAGUACAAAACAACCUCCACAUUGAACUAGGCCUAUUACCUUGAGCAACGAACUACAAUCCUAUGCACAAAAAAAUUUUCAUUCAUUGACCCAAUUUUUUUGAUCAACGAACCAAGUUACCCUAGGGAUAACAGCGCAAUCCUCUUCAAGAGCCCCUAUCGCCAAGAGGGUUUACGACCUCGAUGUUGGAUCAGGGUAUCCCAGUGGCGCAUCCGCUACUAAUGGUUCGUUUGUUCAACGAUUAAAACCCUACGUGAUCU
rnacentral:rRNA from 1 species